UACGUAGGGUCCGAGCGUUGUCCGGAAUUAUUGGGCGUAAAGGGCUCGUAGGCGGUCUGUCGCGUCGGGAGUGAAAACUUACAGCUUAACUGUGAGCGUGCUUCCGAUACGGGCAGACUUGAGGUAUUCAGGGGAGAACGGAAUUCCUGGUGUAGCGGUGAAAUGCGCAGAUAUCAGGAGGAACACCGGUGGCGAAGGCGGGUCUCUGGGCCGAUACUGACGCUGAGGAGCGAAAGCGUGGGGAGCGAACAGG
rnacentral:rRNA from 1 species